AAAAAAAAGCCUUUGGGACAUUUAGUAUGCACUUUUAUUUCCCUUGAAGUAUUUUCUCUGAUCCUUUGGAUAAACUAUUUGGUGCUAGCCUGUUUCACAGACAAUACAUCAAGCCAGAGGGGAAUUCAGCUGAAUAGAAUAAUACUUAGCCUUCAGGCCAAUUGAAGCCAACAUGGAUGCCAAAAAAUUAUUUGCAAACCUAUGGUUUGCUACCUGCAUGCAAAAUACAUUUAAGGAAAAUAGUAUUGACAUUUUUAUUAGAAAAAUGUAUGUUUGAUAUACCUUUGAAAAGAAAUGUAAAACAUCUUUUAAAGGAUUGGAUAAUUUAACUCUAAAAUGGUUUUGCUUUAAGUAAUUAACCACAAAAUAAUAAUUGGAAAAACAAAUGCUCUACAAUUGUUUGAAAUAGUUUAAUAUAUAAUACAUAAUAUAUUAAUGAAAAGCCAAAGAAACCAGAAAAUGGUUUAAUUCUUCAAAAUGAAGCAUCUUGUCAAACUGCAAUUAAAACUGUAACAAUUUAAAGUAACAUUAAGGGGUUUUUACAAGAUUUAUUUAAUCUGUAUAAAAUGUUUAUGAUAUUUUCAGCUUUGCUAGAAGAAAGUUUCCUGAUUUAUAUUUCUCAUGAAAUAGUAACACUGUUACUCUCUUAUUAAUGAAUACUUUUGACUAAGGGGAAUAGUUACAUAACAUGGCUAUAAGCUUAUUUUUAGUGGUAACAUCAUGUAAAAAGUAGCUAAUGAAUUUAAGGAUGAAGUUGCACCUUGAUGCUUGAUACUUCCUAAUCCAACAUUUUCUUUAAUAGUUAAAUUUUAUUUUGUUAUUAAGUUAAUUUUGAUAGAAAAGGUUGUUACUAAGCAUGGUUGUGCAAAUCCUUUGAAAGAGGUGUUUACAAAGCACCUCUCUUCUAAUUAGCUAAAUCCUUUUCAAGGCUCAUGAAGCUCAUAUGCUUUUUGAGAUUCAAGAGUUGUACAUGUACAUGUGUGUGUAAAACAAGUUAUUAAGCAUCACGAAGCCUAAGAAAAGAAGCAGCUGCCUUAUGAUUCCAAGAGGUGCCGCCACCAGUAAUACAUAAUAAAGCAGAUGUUUUCAAUUUCUAUUUAUGUCUGUAAAACCUGAACUCUCAAAGAAACUCAAGAGCAACAAUGUAAUCACUGAUAGGUUCCUUGGUGCUCAUUAGGCAAUUCAUCCCACUUGAAUUUAAAGAUUCCUUAAGUCAAGCACAAUAAAUGGCAAUCUAACAAUGCUACAAAAUACCAGCCUCAUACAUUAACUGUAUUUCCAACAGUGCCUUUGGGCACCACAGAGAUCCAGCAUAGUGCAGGGCCUCAUUUGCCUUUAGAUAAAGUCUUCAUCAUCAUCGCUUCCACGGUGGCAUCUGUUUUAUAGUAUUGCCCCAAACAUGCUCUCAAAAGUUCUACGUGUUCUCAUUGAGCAGCCCCCUCAAUGAGAAACCUUGUUAACGUUUUAAUUGAUCCGCAGAUACCUUGAUGUUGAACAUAAAAGUAUUUAUACAUUCCUUGUAUACUGUAUCUUUUUCAUUAUAUUUCUCUUUCACCCAUUUCAUAUUUGACUAAUAAAGCUUCCAGGGAAAUGCUUAAUAUAAUUAAAGAGUAAAAAUAUAUUGAUGCUUCUGGG